UACGUAGGGGGCGAGCGUUGUUCGGAUUUACUGGGCGUAAAGCGUGCGUAGGCGGUUGGGAAAGUCUGGCGUGAAAUCUACACCGCUCAACGGGUAGCCUGCGCCGGAAACUAUUCAACUGGAGGGCAGAAGAGGAAAGCGGAAUUCCAGGUGUAGCGGUGGAAUGCGCAGAUAUCUGGAAGAACACCAGUGGCGAAGGCGGCUUUCUGGUCUGCUCCUGACGCUGAGGCACGAAAGCCAGGGGAGCGAACGGG
rnacentral:rRNA from 1 species